UAUAAAUGCAUUCUCUCAAACACUCUAUUUGUCUUACUUCUCUUUCUUGCAAACUUGAAAGUCAUGCUAACUUAGUCUCACUAGUAAGGCUUGUGAGCAUCUAAGUGCUGCACGAAGUGCUUGGAAAUAACCAAGGCACAAGGUGCUUUUAACAUUUAAUAUCUCUCACGAAGGAGACAGAGGGCCGGAGUUGCGUUGCAGUUGCACUUUUGAGAUAUUUUACUUAGGUUCAACUUCUUUUCAAUUUGAAAACAGAUUAGACAAUAUUGUUAGAUUGCGGUGGGUCCGAUUCUAGGCCCAUCAUGAUGAUCCAAACCGUUCAUAUGUAGAGUUUGUUAAAUAUAUCAUUCUUGCAAAAGAUCACGUUAAUCGGACAUAAAUAACUAUUUGAUAAGCUUGCAUUUGUGUCUGCGAUUUACUCUAAAAAUCAUAAUUACUAUGGUAAACCUUAUACUCAAUAUCACAUUACUGUGGUAAACCUUAUACUCGAUGGUUUGAGUUUAUCAAGGACAGGUUUUGUGCAAUUUUCAGGGAUAUACUUAAUGGAUUACGACGCGUAUAUUCAUUACGAUUUGUGAGUGGAAUGAGGGUUGGCGGUACUUCAGUAAUCAAUAAUAGUGAGAUUUUUUUUAUUCAUAAUCCUAAAUUUGAUUUUUUUGAUGAAGUAUUUGAGGAGCUUGUUGAACUAAAAGAAAUAAUCAUUGAAAAUUUAUUGGAGUCGUGUGGUAAUUGGGACGGUUCUAAAGAAAUGCUGAAACUUUGUUUUCAUCGACUAGUUGUACUGGCUGAUUUGUGCUACUUUGUGUACUGUUUUUGAUAACUAGUUGCCAAUUGAAAAUUAAAUUAUUAAAAUAAUUUAGUUAUGGGGUGGUUAUGAGGUCAUAUGGUAUGUAGGGAUAACUAAAUAUAACUAAAUUAUGAGCUAAUAUGAUAAUUAUUAUGAUCUAUAUGAUAUUAGUUAUGACCCAGCUUCGUAACUAGAUGUAUGGUACAUCCCCACAAAACAAGCACCUACCUAAAAGCCAACUGAAAUCACAACAGCCAUGACUCUAUUGACAAAUACACUUGCUAGCAAGUGAUAACCAACGCAAUCCAACCAUUAGCAGUUUGUUGAUGUGAUGAUAAAGAUGGGUAAAUAGAGGCACUAAUGGGACAGAAGAGACAGAUAAGAAAGAAUUGUGACCAUGUGAACUAAUGGAACCUUCAAAGCUUUACACAGUUCUAAAGAAAAGGCAUCGAGUCAACUUUUUCCUCUAGGCUGCAUGUGUUUUGUACCUGUGAAAGUGUUUAUUUGUUUGUUGGAUAUCUUCUACAUCUAAAGGUGUACGCAAGAAUUGUAUG